rnacentral:rRNA from 1 species
GACGAACCGUGCAAACGUUGUUCGGAAUCACUGGGCUUAAAGGGCGCGUAGGCGGGCAAGCAAGUCGAAGGUGAAAUCCCACGGCUCAACCGUGGAAGUGCCCCGACUACUGCUUGUCUUGAGGGAGAUAGGGCGUGCGGAACUUCCGGUGGAGCGGUGAAAUGCGUAGAUAUCGGAAGGAACACCGGUGGCGAAAGCGGCGCGCUGGAUCUCUUCUGACGCUGAGGCGCGAAAGCCAGGGGAGCAAAGCGGG